rnacentral:rRNA from 1 species
AUUGAACGCUGGCGGCAUGCCUUACACAUGCAAGUCGAACGGUAACGGGCCUUCGGGUGCCGACGAGUGGCGAACGGGUGAGUAAUGCAUCGGAACGUACCUUUCAGUGGGGGAUAACGUAGCGAAAGUUACGCUAAUACCGCAUAUGCUGUGAGAAGGAAAGCAGGGGCUCGCAAGACCUUGCGCUGAUUGAGCGGCCGAUGUCAGAUUAGAUAGUUGGGGAGGUAAAGGCUCACCAAGGCGACGAUCUGUAGCGGGUCUGAGAGGAUGAUCCGCCACGCUGGAACUGAGACACGGUCCAGACUCCUACGGGAGGCAGCAGUGGGGAAUUUUGGACAAUGGGGGCAACCCUGAUCCAGCCAUGCCGCGUGAGUGAAGAAGGCCUUCGGGUUGUAAAGCUCUUUCGGUCGGGAAGAAAUCGCAUGGGUUAAUACCCUGUGCGGAUGACGGUACCGGCAUAAGAAGCACCGGCUAACUACGUGCCAGCAGCCGCCGCUGUAA